rnacentral:tRNA from 1 species
GCUCCGAUAGCUCAAUAGGUUAGAGCGUUCGCCUUAUAAGCGAUUGACGAUUGGUUCAAUCCCAUCUCGGAGUACCA